rnacentral:rRNA from 1 species
UACAGAGGUGGCAAGCGUUGUUCGGAAUUACUGGGCGUAAAGGGCGCGUAGGCGGCCAUCUAAGUCAGACGUGAAAUCCCCCGGCUCAACCGGGGAACUGCGUCCGAUACUGGCGGGCUUGAAUCCGGGAGAGGGAUGUGGAAUUCCAGGUGUAGCGGUGAAAUGCGUAGAUAUCUGGAGGAACACCGGUGGCGAAGGCGGCAUCCUGGACCGGUAUUGACGCUGAGGCGCGAAAGCUAGGGGAGCAAACGGG